AUUCAGCUGAAAAUGGUCAAAUCUCGAAAUACUCUUGGAUCUAAACUCAGAAAUGUUAGGAAAGAUAACAAAAUUAUCAGUGGAAAAAUUGAGAAGAGAGAUAUUGAUACCAAUUCGGGGGAACACAGCGGGACUAAUAACCACCCUUUGCGUUAUAUCCCAGUGGCGUCGCAUUAUCGCAAAGUCAAGAAAUCUACGAUAACUACACUUUAUCGGAGUAUCGAUGGGAAGGAAGAGAAAACAACUACCGAAACCGUUAAGCAAUCGGCAUCAAGAUUAUUUCAUCAUGUCUAAUUCGAAAGCCGUUUCGGACUGUUAGUCAAUCUAAAAUACAAAAAGGGUACAACUAAA